rnacentral:rRNA from 2 species
CCUACGGGAGGCAGCAGUGGGGAAUUUUGCGCAAUGGGGGAAACCCUGACGCAGCAACGCCGCGUGGAGGAUGAAGUCCCUUGGGACGUAAACUCCUUUCGAUCGGGACGAUAAUGACGGUACCGGAAGAAGAAGCCCCGGCUAACUUCGUGCCAGCAGCCGCGGUAAU